AGCAGCUUGCUGCUUCGCUGACGAGUGGCGGACGGGUGAGUAAUGUCUGGGAAACUGCCUGAUGGAGGGGGAUAACUACUGGAAACGAUAGCUAAUACCGCAUAACGUCGCAAGACCAAAGAGGGGGACCUUCGGGCCUCUUGCCAUCGGAUGUGCCCAGAUGGGAUUAGCUAGUAGGUGGGGUAACGGCUCACCUAGGCGACGAUCCCUAGCUGGUCUGAGAGGAUGACCAGCCACACUGGAACUGAGACACGGUCCAGACUCCUACGGGAGGCAGCAGUGGGGAAUAUUGCACAAUGGGCGCAAGCCUGAUGCAGCCAUGCCGCGUGUAUGAAGAAGGCCUUCGGGUUGUAAAGUACUUUCAGCGGGGAGGAAGGGAGUAAGGUUAAUACCUUUGCUCAUUGACGUUACCCGCAGAAGAAGCACCGGCUAACUCCGUGCCAGCAGCCGCGGUAAUACGGAGGGUGCAAGCGUUAAUCGGAAUUACUGGGCGUAAAGCGCACGCAGGCGGUUUGUUAAGUCAGAUGUGAAAUCCCCGGGCUCAACCUGGGAACUGCAUCUGAUACUGGCAAGCUUGAGUCUCGUAGAGGGGGGUAGAAUUCCAGGUGUAGCGGUGAAAUGCGUAGAGAUCUGGAGGAAUACCGGUGGCGAAGGCGGCCCCCUGGACGAAGACUGA
rnacentral:rRNA from 1 species